GUGCGGGAAGAUAAUGACGGUACCGCAAGAAUAAGCCCCGGCUAACUUCGUGCCAGCAGCCGCGGUAAUACGAAGGGGGCUAGCGUUGCUCGGAAUUACUGGGCGUAAAGGGUGCGUAGGCGGGUCUUUAAGUCAGAGGUGAAAUCCUGGAGCUCAACUCCAGAACUGCCUUUGAUACUGAGGAUCUUGAGUUCGGGAGAGGUGAGUGGAACUGCGAGUGUAGAGGUGAAAUUCGUAGAUAUUCGCAAGAACACCAGUGGCGAAGGCGGCUCACUGGCCCGAUACUGACGCUGAGGCACGAAAGCGUGGGGANCAAACAGGAUUAGAUAC
rnacentral:rRNA from 1 species